UCCGAGGUGAAAGAUUGUGCAAGAACAGCUUGAUUGUCUUUUUCCGGGCUUGUGGUUGACAGAAAUCACCGCGGAUAUAUACAAAGUUCCUGAAGUUCCUGAAACUGGAAAACAAUAGAAAUUGAUGGAAUUGAUGCUGUUUCUGGAGGCUUGAAGGUUUAUCUGCUUGCUGACCACACUGGUGCAUUGUUGACCUCUUAUUAGUGGUAUACCGCACCAUCUUUGUCGAUUGGGAAUUCGAUGGAAGUGUUGAAUUCCUGGGUAUGAUGUGGUGCAAGCUUUAGUUGACUUAUAAAGCUAAUCUUGUUAAUUUUUUUUAUUUUUAG